CCCUUAGUAACUGCGAGUGAAGUGGGAAAAGCUCAAAUUUAAAAUCUGGCAGUCAUUUGGCUGUCCGAGUUGUAAUCUAGAGAAGUGUUGCCCGUGCUGGACCAUGUACAAGUCUCCUGGAAUGGAGCAUCACAGAGGGUGAGAAUCCUGUCUUUGACAUGGACUACCAGUGCUUUUGUGGUAUGCUCUCAAAGAGUCGAGUUGUUUGGGAAUGCAGCUCAAAAUGGGUGGUAAAUGCCAUCUAAAGCUAAAUAUUGGCGAGAGACCGAUAGUGAACAAGUACCGUGAGGGAAAGAUGAAAAGAACUUUGGAAAGAGAGUUAAACAGUACGUGAAAUUGCUGAAAGGGAAACGCUUGAAGUCAGUCACGUUGACUUGGAAUCAGCUCUGCUUUUGCUGGGUGUACUUUCUUGUCAAUGGGUCAGCAUCAAUUUUGACCAUUGGAUAAAGUUGUUGGGAAUGUAGCAUCUUUUUGGAUGUGUUAUAGCCUGGCAAUGCAUACGGUGGUUGGGAUUGAGGAAUUCAGCACGCCCCACCGGGGCCGGGUUUCGACCACGUUCGUGCUUAGGAUGCUGGCAUAAUGGCUUUAAUUGACCCGUCUUGAAACACGGACCAAGGAGUCUAACAUAUCUGCGAGUGUUUGGGUGGAAAACCCAUGUGCGU
rnacentral:rRNA from 1 species